UCUGUCUCAGAGGUAUUGCAGGCAUGGCUGCUUUGUCACAUGUGGAUCAGAAGGUGACAGAGAGAAGAGAGGCUAUGUCUAUGCUCAGUGUUCUCACCUAUGAACACCUGAAUGAUUACAAUAGCCUAACAUU